rnacentral:rRNA from 1 species
CCCUUACGGGGGGAACGCGAAGAACCUUACCAGGUCUUGACAUCCUUUGACCACUUCAGAGAUGAAGCUUUCCCUUCGGGGACAAAGUGACAGGUGGUGCAUGGUUGUCGUCAGCUCGUGUCGUGAGAUGUUGGGUUAAGUCCCGCAACGAGCGCAACCCUUAUUACUAGUUGCCAGCAUUCAGUUGGGCACUCUAGUGAGACUGCCGGUGACAAACCGGAGGAAGGUGGGGAUGACGUCAAAUCAUCAUGCCCCUUAUGACCUGGGCUACACACGUGCUACAAUGGCAAGUACAACGAGCAGCUAACCCGCGAGGGUACGCGAAUCUCUUAAAACUUGUCUCAGUUCGGAUUGUAGGCUGCAACUCGCCUACAUGAAGUCGGAAUCGCUAGUAAUCGCGAUCAGCACGCCCGCCGCCC